rnacentral:rRNA from 1 species
CAGCAGCCGCGGUAAUACGAAGGUCCCGAGCGUUGUUCGGAAUCACUGGGCGUAAAGGGAGCGUAGGCGGUAUGGUAAGUCAGAUGUGAAAUCCCGGGGCUCAACCCCGGAACUGCAUCCGAUACUGCCGUGCUAGAGGACUGGAGAGGCAACUGGAAUUCUCGGUGUAGCAGUGAAAUGCGUGGAGAUCGAGAGGAACACUCGUGGCGAAAGCGAGUUGCUGGACAGUAUCUGACGCUGAGGCUCGAAGGCCAGGGUAGCGAAAGGGAUUAGAUACCCCGGUAGUCCCUGUCUCUUAUAC